GCCGGAAUAGCUCAGUUGGGAGAGCGUUCGACUGAAGUUGUUUACGCAACAAUCAUCUAUAGGCCCCCGGUUCAAUUCCGGGUUCCGGCA
rnacentral:tRNA from 1 species